GUUUAAUUUUUUUAGGAUACACUUGAUCUUAUUUCAUCUUCACCAUUACCUUGUGAAUUGAUGUUUUUCCCAUUUUCAGAUGAGAAGAGCUGAGGAACUAGCUGUAGCCUCUUGGCAAAGAGCUGGGGCUCUUGCUUGGGCACUAUUUCAGGGCUGCCUCCUCCUGACCUCAGCAUCACCGCAGUACUGCAAAGCAGCUGGGUCAUUUAAGAAAAAUAGCCUGCCUCAAACAAGGGUUUGCUGGAUCCAUGAAUAAAUGGACUGUUUAACCUGGAGGGACAGAGAAAGGAGAGGAUGAAGGCAAGACCACGCUCUUUACUUGGAAGAAGAGCCAGAUGUACGUUCAAAUACAGACUCCAAGUCGAUAAAUGCCUACAGAGUUAUGAGAUCGUGUUGAAAUGAAGUGUUUUGAGUGGCUGCUGUAUCAAUGCCUUCCCUCCAUCUAAUUAGCAUCAGAUGUCUUCAAGACCUGCCUGGAGAUUCACAUCUGAAAGGUAUGAGAGAAAAAGACUGUUCCCAGAUGUCAAUGAAAGAACCUUACUGCUAUGUUAAUACCUAACAUAGCAGCAACUCCCCAACUCCCACCCCUAGAGUAGACCCUUAGACUGCAUCUUUCACUGAAAGAGACACAGCUCAUCUUUGAAUCACUGGAGGCUCUGCCAACCAGACUCCAAGCAGGGGACUGUGGAACCCUCUAGAUUGGUUGUUUAUAAGGAAGAGAAGUUGCCAGUUAAGAGCUUCUUCCUGGCCCACAGCACUCUGCUGACAAGACCUCCAAAGCUUCCUUCUAUAUAUUCAAGCACACCAGCAAUGUCUCCCCCGAGAUGUUUUGGAGCAUCCCAGGAUGAAGGAAUCUGUAGUUGGCAGCUGGGCCUGGAUUGGGCAGUGCCUGCAGGAAGGAGAAAAGAUCACCUCUAGAAUCAGGCAACUUAAAGGUUCUUCAACUCCCAGUGGCUCCCAGAUUUUGCUCCAGGUUAAAAUUUUCUUGGGAGCUUUGAAGAGUCCCAGUGGCCACAUCAUAGCAUGUGGCAGACACACCUGAGGUAAUAAAGAAGAUGAACGGUUUAAUACUUUCUUGCAUGAGUUCACUACAGAGAGUUCUUUAGAGGGAUGCUGCCUGUUGAUGAAAAGGAAGAUCUCUGCUUCCACAGGGAGCAGGCACCCAGCGAGGCGCAGAGGAUGUGAGACACCGUCAUUGGUGUGGAGAAUAUAUGUGCUUUGUAAAGUUUGCCUGACAGUUGAUUUUCUUUCUUUCUUUCUUUUUUUUAACUGAUUUUACUGAUAAAAUUAGAGUUGUAUUUCUAAAAGGAACAGGAAGCCACAAAGACAAGGACACAUAACAAAUCUCUGACCAACUUAUGCCAGUAAGGCUCAAAGUCAGCCAUAAAAAUGAAUAAGGUUCAUGAGCUUACUGAAAAGUAAUGUACAGAGCCACUGGUUUCUGUCUCUGCACCCCUUGGAGUAAAAUGGGGGUCACACACUAGUGGGGGCCUCCAUGAUCAUGCUCCAAUUUCCCUUAGAGGCACAUGUUUCUAUAGGAACAUUAAAUUGUGAAUGCCGUGAUAAAUCUGAAGAAAUAUUAAGAGUCUUGGAUUUUCAUUUUCAUAUUUUAUGCACCUAGGCAUAAGAGUCAUUUUCACUUGUUUCCCUCUUACCAUUAGAAGUUAAUGUUAUUAAAGAGUUCAGUUGCGUCUGUUCCC